rnacentral:rRNA from 1 species
AAUGAACGUUGGCGGCGUGGAUUAGGCAUGCAAGUCGUACGGUAGAGAGUUUUUGCUUGCAUUAACUCUUGAGAGUGGCGAAAGGGAGAGUAACGCGUGGUUACGUGCCUCGAAGUCGAGAAUAGUAUUGGGAAACUGGUAGUAAUGCUCGAUAAUAUCUUCGGAUCAAAGGUGUGAUUCCGCUUCGAGAUCGGACCGCGUACUAUUAGCUUGUUGGCGGGGUAAUGGCCCACCAAGGCUGCGAUGGUUACCGGGUGUGAGAGCAUGGCCCGGCUCACUGGGACUGAGACACUGCCCAGACAUCUACGGAUGGCUGCAGUCGAGAAUCUUUGUCAAUGGACGAAAGUCUGAACAAGCGACGCCGCGUGCGGGAUGAAGGCCCUCGGGUUGUAAACCGCUGUCAGUUGGGAGGAAGGGUGUGUGAAGAGCACAUCUCGACCGAUCUUCAGAGGAAGGACGGGCUAAGUUCG